rnacentral:ncRNA from 1 species
UGGUCCCAGCCUUGAAAUCAACUAUUACUUAAUAUACACAUGCAAGUAUCCGCACCCCUGUGAGAACGCCCUUAAAUCCCCAAUAGGGAUAAGGAGCUGGUAUCAGGCGCUACUAAUGCCCAAGACACCUAGCUAUGCCACACCCUCAAGGGAAUUCAGCAGUGAUAAACAUUGACAAUAAGCGACAGCUUGAUUCAGUUAAAGUAAAAAGAGCCGGCUAAUCUGGUGCCAGCCGCCGCGGUUACACCACGUGGCUCAAACUGAUUUCUAUCGGCGUAAAGCGUGAUUAAAGUUCUACCCCUAUUAGAGUUAAAUUAAAACUAAGCUGUGACACGCUUGUUAUUAAGAAAACCAAAAUCGAAAGAUACUCCAACUUAUUCAGCUUGAAUUCACGACAGCUAAGUAACAAACUGGGAUUAGAUACCCCACUAUGCCUAGCCGUAAACUUUAACUUACAUUUAUAUCGCCCGGGAACUACGAGCAAAGCUUAAAACCCAAAGGACUUGACGGUACCCCAUAUCCACCUAGAGGAGCCUGUCCUAUAAUCGAUAAUCCCCGCUUAACCUCACCCCCUCUAGCCCAUCAGCCUGUAUACCUCCGUCGUCAGCUUACCACGUGAGCGCAUCUUAGUGAGCUUAAUGUCCACACGCCAAAACGUCAGGUCAAGGUGCAGCAUAUGGGGGGGAAAGAGAUGGGCUACACUCUCUAGUAUAGAACAUACGAAUGACUACUUAUGAAAACUAGUCUAAAGGCGGAUUUAGAAGUAAAAAGAAACUAUAGUGUUCUUUUUAACCCGGCACUGGGGUGUGUACACACCGCCCGUCACCCUCUUCAAAGCCUAUUUCAAGUUCUUAACCAAUUUACUGCUAAACAGAAGAGGCAAGUCGUAACAUGGUAAGUAUACCGGAAGGUGUGCUUGGAAA